rnacentral:rRNA from 1 species
AAUCCGCUUAUCGUGAAGGCUGAGCUGUGAUGGGAAGCUCCUUAUGGAGCGAAGUCUUUGAUUCCCGCUGCCAAGAAAGCUUCUAGCGAGAUAAAGGUGCCUGUACCGCAAACCGACACAGGUAGGCGAGGAGAGAAUCCUAAGGUGUGCGAGAGAACUCUGGUUAAGGAACUCGGCAAAAUGACCCCGUAACUUCGGGAGAAGGGUGCUUUCUUAACGGAAAGCCGCAGUGAAUAGGCCCAAGCGACUGUUUAGCAAAAACACAGCUCUCUGCGAAGCCGUAAGGCGAAGUAUAGGGGGUGACACCUGCCCGGUGAUGGAAGGUUAAGGAGAGGGGUUAGCGUAAGCGAAGCUCUGAACUGAAGCCCCAGUAAACGGCGGCCGUAACUAUAACGGUCCUAAGGUAGCGAAAUUCCUUGUCGGGUAAGUUCCGACCCGCACGAAAGGUGUAACGAUUUGGGCACUGUCUCAACCAGAGACUCGGUGAAAAUUAUAGUACCUGUGAAGAUGCAGGUUACCCGCGACAGGACGGAAAGACCCCGUGGAGCUUUACUGUAGCCUGAUAUUGAAUUUUGGUACAGUUUGUACAGGAUAGGCGGGAGCCUUUGAAACCGGAGCGCUAGCUUCGGUGGAGGCGCUGGUGGGAUACCGCCCUGACUGUAUUGAAAUUCUAACCUACGGGUCUUAUCGACCCGGGAGACAGUGUCAGGUGGGCAGUUUUGACUGGGGCGGUCGCCUCCUAAAGUGUAACGGAGGCGCCCAAAGGUUCCCUCAGAAUGGUUGGAAAUCAUUCGUAGAGUGCAAAGGCAUAAGGGAGCUUGACUGCGAGAACUACAAGUCGAGCAGGGACGAAAGUCGGGCUUAGUGAUCCGGUGGUUCCGCAUGGAAGGGCCAUCGCUCAACGGAUAAAAGCUACCCCGGGGAUAACAGGCUUAUCUCCCCCAAGAGUCCACAUCGACGGGAGGUUUGGCACCUCGAUGUCGGCUCAUCGCAUCCUGGGGCUGUAGUCGGUCCCAAGGGUUGGGCUGUUCGCCCAUUAAAGCGGUACGCGAGCUGGGUUCAGAAC